rnacentral:rRNA from 1 species
CCUACGGGCGGCAGCAGUGGGGAAUAUUGGACAAUGGGGGAACCCCUGAUCCAGCGACGCCGCGUGAGUGAAGAAGUCUUUCGGUACGUUAAACUCUAUCAGCAGGAAAGAAAAUGACGGUACCUGACUAAGAAGCGCCGGCUAACUACGUGACAGCAGCCGCGGAGAUACGUAGGGGGCCAGCGUUAUCCGGAUUUACUGGGUGUAAAGGGAGCGUAGGCGGGAUCGCAAGUCUGGAGUGAAAUGCCGGGGCCCAACCCCGGAACUGCGCUGGAAACUGUGGAGCUGGAGUGCAGGAGAGGUAAGCGGAAUGCGUGGUGUAGCGGUGAAAUGCGUAGAUAUCAGGAGGAACACCGGCGGCGAAGGCGGCUUACUGGACUGUAACUGACGUUGAGGCUCGAAGGCGUGGGGAGCAAACAGGAUUAGAUACCCGAGUAGUC